AAAAAAAAGGAAAAUACAUAUGUAUAUAUAUAUACACUUUUUGUAUACUCCUUAUAAUGAUAAAAAUAGUUCCUUUUUUAAUUUUACAAAUAUUUUUAGUUGUCAAAAAUGUGAAUUCGAUUAAUCUUAAAAAUAAUGUCACAAAACAAGCUAUAAAUGUGCCAAACAGAUGGCAGUCGAACUAUUCGAGAAAAUUUGCAUACUUAGACACAAAGAGUAACAAAGGUGAGGUAAAAAAUAAAACAAUAAACUGCAAUUCGAAUAAAAAAGCAUGCCCUUUCCGUGAUAUGAAUUUGAUAAAACUUAUUGGUAUCACUACUACAAGUUUAGCCAUUCCUUUUUUUUUA